rnacentral:lncRNA from 1 species
AUGAAGAUGUUGCUGCUGUCUGUGAUCCUCGUGCUCGUUACCCAGCAUGCCUCUGGAGUGGGGGAGAUUGAGGAGAAGGAGGGGAUUGAGGGGGAGGAGUCUGUGGUUCUGCCCUGUGAGGUUCCUCCUGAUGUCACUGUUAAAUCUGUGGAAUGGAGCCGCUAUGAACUCAAUCCCUCCACUGUUCAUCUACGUCAAACCAUCAAUAAUACAGAGAGAGAUGUUCUUAAAGACCAGAACCCGUCCUACAGAACCCGCACAGAACUACAGACGGACGCUCUGAAGACUGGAGACGUCAGCCUCACUCUGAAAACCCUUCAACUGCCAGACAGAGGAAUGUACAGCUGCACCGUCCGUUGGGGUAUGGGAGAGAGGAAACAGACUCAAGUUUACCUGAAGAUCAUCAGCAAGAGAGAAGUCGAACUACAACUACAGAAGAGAAUCAGAGACACAGCGAUCAUUGUCAGUGUGCCUCUGAUCUUUAUCAUUGUGGUUGUUGUUGUUCUGUUCCUGGUAUAUCGUCAUGGAUACAUCAACUUCAAAGUCCGCAAUGUGGUGAAGGUGGAUUCAGGGGUGGAGUCUGUCCUGCUGCCCUGCAAAACCACAGUUCACCUGUCUGAGGACGUCACAGUGGAGUGGACGAACAGUAACAACUGGAAGGUCCAUGUGUAUCAGAACAGUUCUGAUCAGCCUGAAGAACAGCACCAGUAUUACAGAGACCGAACAGAGAUGAAGAAAGAGGAACCUGGAGACCUCAGUCUGACCCUGAAAUACCCCAAAGACAGAGACAGUAAGACCUACACCUGCACCGUCUACAACAGGGAGAGAGAGAUCCUGAUGGAGAAACAAGUGCUGCUCAAGGUCAAAGAGAGAACCAGUAUCAAACCCACUGAUGGAACUCCUCUGAUGACUGUUAAAUCUGUCUGAUGGAUCAAUCUUUGAUUAUUGAUCUGAUCGGACUCUGGAUCAGAGAGAAUGGACGACGGAUGAAGACAUGAGGACGCUUUGUCUCACAGACUAUUGAUGAGUAUUGAUGAUCAGUCAGUGUGAUGUCACAUGUUGAUGAGUUUAGAUGUUUUGUACUCUGACAGAGGUCUCACUCUGGAGGAACCUGUUUGUAUUUUUGCUUUGAUAUAUUCUCUACAGCCAGCUUCAUGUAUCCAUUAUAUAUCAGCCUCUAACAGUCCUGUUCAGGCUCAUUCAGACUACCUUCACACUAAGCUGGCCUUCAUUGGUUGCAGUGAGAUCCAAUCAGAGCGGAGCUGUCAGACUGCAUAUUGAUCCUCCCAUUGAGCUCCAUGUGGAGGCUGUUACUGUCAGUGUGGUGUGAAUCUGUUCUGCUGAGAGGAAUCUGCUCAUCCACUGUUUCCUCUCUGUUCAUACAGAGAUAAUGAGACUCAUAUCAGCCUCAAAGUGGAGCCGUGGGUUUCACAUGGUCCGUUUAGUGUGGACGUAGUCUCACAGCAAUAUCCUGUUUGUAUGGCUGCAGUAAUCAAUAAUCAAUGAUCAUUUCAGACACUUUGUACCAAAGUUCAGUGUGAAAUUGUCCUGAGCUUUAAUGCCCCGAUCCCAUCCGGUGUUUCAGCUGUUUUUACUCCCAAAGCUUUCAGGUGCAGCCGUCAUCCACUCUGAGCUCCCCUCUCCCUGCAGAGCUGAUACAUCGGAUGGAUUUCAGUGCCUUUAAUGUGCCUGAAGUGAUCACUGCGCACUGUAUUCUCUAAAUACCAAUACAAGUAUCAGAUAAUCAAUAUGAAGUGACUGGGAUCAGACCAGAGGCUACAGAGAGCUGAUGGGAUCAUCCCUAGUUUGUUGGUGUAACUGUUACAGUUGAGCUUAUUUGCUGAUGAUGAUGAUGUUUUCGUAGGACUCUUGCUUUGCUGUUUGGGUUGAGUCCUCCAGGUUAACUGCUCUUAUUGUUCGUGGUUUGGAUGAUCAGAUCAAUCAAUGUAUUGAUGAAACAGCGUAUUGAUUGUCAGGAACCACUGUGUGCUUUCAGCUGCCAACCCAUAAUAAAGUGUAACCAAAGAGUGACUGUUGUCCAUCUGUAAUGCGAUCCUGUGAGGAUGAAAUAACUUUAGUCUUCAGUCUCUGAACCAACAAUCAAUAGUCGAAGAGGGGUCAAGAAAGCGAUGUGGGCUUCAUAGAUAACUGGGGGACAUUCUGGGGACA